AAUGGAGUCCAUAUUCUUGAGGUAUACUCAUCAGUUUCACAAAAGCUAUGGAUAAGAAUUUUCAGAUUUGAUUGCAUUUAGACAGUAGUUAUUGAAGGCACAAAAUUAAGGCACAAAGGGAUCUUGGAAUCUUAAAACAAGGUGUAAGUGUGCACCUCAGAUAGGUAAGGUGCAAAAGAGCUAAAAUAAGGUUAUUCUUAUUAAUAACAUAAAAUUUAGAAUUCUAGCAACGAUAUUUUUGAAAUCAAAGUAAAAACAUGCAUAUGAUAUACAUAAAACUUAUCCAUAAGAGGCAGCAUGGCAUAAUUAACAAUUUAACGUGGCAGAAUUAACAAUUAAAGAUGGAAAAUUAACAAGGUAGAAAAAGUGUUACCAAAAAAAAAAAGAGGAAAAGCAUAAGAAAAAGGAAAAUG
rnacentral:misc_RNA from 1 species